UACAGAGGGGGCAAGCGUUGUUCGGAAUUACUGGGCGUAAAGGGCGCGUAGGUGGCCUUCUAAGUUGAACGUGAAAUCCCUGGGCUCAACCCAGGAACUGCGUCCAAGACUGGGAGGCUUGAAUCCGGGAGAGGGAUGCGGAAUUCCAGGUGUAGCGGUGAAAUGCGUAGAUAUCUGGAGGAACACCGGUGGCGAAGGCGGCAUCCUGGACCGGUAUUGACACUGAGGCGCGAAAGCUAGGGGAGCAAACGGG
rnacentral:rRNA from 1 species